UCACGCGCCGUAUCCCGAGCGCUCCCCUGAGCGCGUGGUCCUGGUCGCGAGCACAUGGAAGUGAGGUCGAGAUUUGUGUCUGAGAGACGAUCACGAGGAAAAACGGAAUAUAAACAGCGCGAAGCGGCGGCAGAAGCAGCCCGGAUGGUGGCGUUGCUGCAGGACCCUCAUGCAGGCCGAACCUCACCACAGCUGCUGCACCAAUACGCCACUGAAGAUACUGAUCUGAAUAGGGAGGAUGCAAAGGUGGAAGCAGUCAGUGCUGGAUUCAGUUUCACUGCAUCUUAAUGGAGCACACACACACACACACACACACACACACACACACACACACACACACACACACACACACACACACACACACACACACACACACACACACACACACACACGGUUUUUUAAUAGUAUCUACUUCCCCCUUUUUUUGUGUGAGAGGACACAGAUACACCCUGAAUGGGCCCCUGUGGUGCUCUACAUUGUGGUUGGGAAGUACCUAAUGUUACAACUGUCAUGCUGAUCUGCUUAAAGGGACAGUGUUGAUCACUUUUCUCAGUAUUUUCUCAGGGGUCAUGUAGUGUCGCCCUAAAUAAGAGGUUGUCAGAGGAGGUGUCUGUAUUACACAACUAUAUAAAGAGCUAAAGUAGACAUAUCAUGCUCAUUUUCAGCUCUAUGUUUUUAUUCUUCUCUAGACUAGCCUCGCAUGAUUCACAGAUUUAAUAAAACCUUAUUUAUGUCGUAUUGCUGCAAUAAUUUUGGACAAUACAAUGUUGUAACCGCCGGAUUUAAACUGUAAAUGUUAACAUCUCAAUAAGAGAAGCUAAUCUAAGAUCUGUAACUUGCAUCUUAACAAGAUAACAUCAGUUGAGUUUCUGUCUGAAAAACACAAUAUUACCUCCUGUCUCUUUAAGAGCUCCCCAGCCCCUCCCUGAAAGCCCCCUUUCUUCUGAUUGGCUCACAUCUGGAAGCCUGCACCCCAGUUCUUGUGAGCACCACCAGUAACAUAUUUCGUUGUUUUCGAUCAGAAAUACCAACUUAUCAAAGUUCAAGCCUGAAUCCAAACUGGACUAUUAGCCUAAACUAAGUGAGCAAGUAAUAUUGCAGCAGGACAUCUUUGUUUGCUAAAUAUUACACGUUACCUGCUGAUUGUGUCCUAACGGUUGGAUUUAGUCUUUCAAUCAAAAGCUGCAUGUAAAAAUUGUUUAAAAUGUGCUAAAAUACCAGCUGAGCAAACUGCUGCUGAUGACUGCAGAAAGAAAUCCACUUAAGUGGAAAAACUGUUGGAAACCUUGUAUUUAGAGCAGAUGUUAUCUAAAAUUGUGGCCACAUUUAAUAUAAGCAUCCAACAUUGUAACAUAUUAAUGACAAAAAAUAAGGGAAAGCACAAUAUGUUUGUGCCCAAGCAAAAUGAAGUAGAGAAAUAAAGUCAAACUCUCACCACUUGAUGAAUCCAUAGUUGCUGGGAGUAGUGAGACUUUUGGGCCUCAAUUCAUUGUGAAGUUGUGAUGUCAAUGAAAUCCAACCACACUGAGGUGAAAGGGGAGAGGAAUUUGCUUUGCAAUCAUUUCUAAAAACCACAUAAAUUUUUACUUGCAUAAUCCCCUGUGAGUUUUGUAAGUCUCUUCUGGCAAUUGACACUGUUGAAUGUUUGGAAAAAGCUGCACACUUGUCUGAAUAAAUUUCUCAGUCUGGCAGCAUGUUUACUGAGCGUGUUUUUUUCUUAGUGUCCAACAAGUAAGUGAAGUGUGUUCAUUACAGUCCUGGGUGUUCUGCAUCACUUCCUCCUGUUUACAGCUGCAGGGAGUGAAAGUGUUUAAUCUGUACAUGAGCUUCAUGCCCUUUUCACCAGGGUCAUUUACACACAGCAGACACUGUAUCCACACUCGUUACGAAACCCUGACCACAACACAGAGGCAUUGCUUUAUGAAUCAGGUGUUGUCCUGCAGCAUUUUGUACAUUUUUUAAAUGUUGCUCACAGCUGAUUUGGGUCGACUGAAUUCCUUUGAGUCUCAGUUACAGUGCAGACUGAAACCAUGUUAACCCUUUAAACCGCCGGCAGGUUUAGAAGGCAUGUUAAUCUUUGAAAGUCCCCAUAAUUACAUCAUUUAUCAGAGCAAAAAAAUGGAAAAACGGAAGGAAUCUUCACCCGUCAUUGAACUAUUCGUGUUUGAUUUGCAGUUUUGUCUUAAAAUGACCCAAAUUUAAACUUAAAAUUGUGAUAUUUCGUCAAAACCACUUCAUUCUACGUGUCUGUCAUUUAAAAUUCACACAAAAUAAACAGAAUCUGUAAAAAAACAAAAAAAAUUCUGCACUCCUUGGCGCAACUGAGAAGUCUUUAUUGGCUCAGCUGUGUCCAACAGUCACAUGACAACAAUUCAGGGAUAUUUUGGCUGAGCUGCAGGAUGUGUUUACCUAAAGCAGAUAGGAGACAAGUAUGGAAACAAAUGUAAGUAAAAUAUCUAUAGCUCAUGAAGUUACCUUUUUUUCAGCUGUGAGCACUUGGAGAAAUGCUACACGUGUUGGAUCCAGGUUUAUAUUUAAUUUUUUGUAAAAUUAGCUUCUUUUUAUGAUUAUAUUGCGUCAUACUGCACAGACAACAUUUUUGAAUUCUCUGCUUUUAGUUAUGGUUGUGCUGUUUCCAUAAAGGUGCAGGACUUUAUAUUGCAGUGAAAAAUCAGUUCACAGUUCAUUAAAAAAAAUUGAAAAAAACCCCUUCAGAAGCUGCUUGGGGUUCAUAGGGUUAAACUAUAAGUAUGGGAAGGUUGCGAUAUUAAUAAAAAAGGACAAUCAGUUUGAUUUUAAAUGAACCUAUGACGUAAAAACCUGUGUGAAAAAAUAACAUUGGCUCCACACCUUCACAGGAAUAAGGAGUGUUCAUAUUUGUACAAGUCGCAAUCUCAUCUGUAGUGAGCAGCUUUACGAUGCUAUAAAGGAUAAAUCUUCAGCAAACAUACAAGAACUGCGCUUCUGAACGCAAUUAAAGCAGGAAGAAUCAGCCAAUAACGUCCUUCACAAUGGUUGCGUGUCGAUACUGUUCAGCAUGGAUUACGUGUUCUUAUGUCAUCUUGAAAAUAUUAUAUAUAUAUAAUAUAUGAAAAUGAAUAAUUUGACUGUCUGGUUUGGUUGUGUUUCUAUGAAGGUGGCAGAGGAAGUGUCUGGCCUGGUGUACCACAAACAAACAAAACCAGUCAUUGAUCGCAGGCGAUUGGCUCACCUGUCGAAUCCGCAAGACUUCCCGGUUGUGUAAUUGUAGGCGUUCGCCAAGACGAGUUUAAAAAAGAUUAAAAUGUAUUUUAAGAUGAAAGCGUAGGUGAGAUUAUGACCCCCAACCGUCUGUCUCGAUAUUAAUCACAGUUUACAGACUGUGUCAUUGACCCACCCUGCUUAUUGUAACUCUGCAACUUUUCUGUGCAACUGUCGAUUACUACAAACAUUACAGCUGCUUUCGCUUUCAGAUUUUCCAUAUCUGCAGCAAUGAGUACAAUGUUAGACAGAAAUGAGCUAACGAGAAGUUAUUUUAAGAUCAGUAAUUUACUUAAGCAGGUCAGACCUGACUGUGUACAUCUGAAAGUCAUAUAUAUAUAUAUAUAUAUAUAUAUAUAUAUACAUUUUCGGGACUACACCACCAAUUAGCUCAGCUUAGCAUUUAGAUAAAAUAAGUUAGAACUUUAUUAAUCCUGAAGAAAAUUGUUGUGCCAGAUAUUGCUAAGAAAGACUAACUGUAACAUGGAAAUAAACCAAGAGCAGUAACUAUAAGGUGCGUAAGGAGUACAGGCUAACAACAGUGCCUAAUAGAAUAGCAAUAAUUAAGAUUCAUGUAAUUAAAAUAGGUAAGCUAAAAUAAAACUAGAACAGAUAAAUAAGAAGUAAUGCUGCCAAAAACCCAGUAUAAUGUGUAGUUUGUUUCAUUGGUAGGAAAAACAAAGACUAAAAACAACAAUUAGCUGUUUAUGCUAAGCUAGGCUAACCAUUUCCUUUCUGUAUCUUCUCUAUGACUCUCAGAAAGGCACCAAAUGAGUGCAUUUCUUGUAAAUGCUGCAGUGUUUCUUUUACAGUCCAACAGUUGUCCGGGUUUGACUACAGAGCAGGUGUGGGCUCAUGUCAUUAACUUCACCAAACAUCCUUUUUUUUUUUCUCUCUCCUAUCAGCCCGGCAGAGACCUUUGGAUGUGGUCAGCUGAGCGGUUAGUCAUGCUCACUAGACUGGAUAUCCUCCUGCCACCGUUGCUUUCUUUAUCUCCCUUUUACAAACGACUCCAGUAACUCGACCCCUCCUUCAAAUUCCCCGACUCAGCUUUCACCUGAAACACUCAUCCUGAGAGGUUUUGGUCGUCGUCUAAGUCGACUGCAGCAAACAACAAAGCAGGCCGGGUCGAGCCGUGUGAAAAAACGCCUUUUAAUGUGAAGCCGUGGUUGGAUCUGGGAAGAACAGAGAGGAGGUUAAACAAACACAAAGCUCAUUAAAAUAAACCCUGUCAACUCCCACUCCCUUUUUUUUUCUUUUUUCCUUUUUUCUUUGCGAGGUACAGGAAUGUGCUGUCGUGCUUCACAUCCCACGUAGAAUUGCUGCAGGACUUCAGGUAAUGAAUGAACAGGGGAUGCCCACCCAGCAACCAGAAAAACCAAAGACAACUGGGCAGACUGGUGAAGGAUGACUGAGUUUCCCACCGCCAUGCCACCUCAUCAACACACACCGGCCUGCAUGUUAACACAGAUCCACUGUGGGAGCUUUUAAUGAGGGCCCAGAACCAGAGUUUGUGAGCAGACUUUGGGUUUGAUAGCAAGAAUUCAGGAUCCUCCUCGUUGUGCAACAGUCUCUGGUUUCCCAGAGACUAUGGGUUGAGGAGGAAUUGGAAGUUUGUCGGCUUAGACCUGGUGUUAUUCCAUCAGUGUUAAACUUCCCGGCUCAUCUUGGAAGAGUACGUGCCAGAAAGACCACAACCAAGCAGCCUUGAGAUCUUAGACAACAUCUCCCUGAGGUUCCUCUCUAUCUCCCCACACAUCCACCAACCACUGGAACACAUCUCCAAAGUUCUGCAGGGCCAGCUCAGCUUCCCCUCAGAAGAAGUGCCGCCACCUGCCAGAUGAAGGAGCCUUUUGAGAGGCAGCUGGCAUCGUGAUUGGACUGUACUUUGGUCUGUUCCAAUCCAGCUUCAGCUCCAGAGACGGCAGGCGGGACGAGUCAACGGAGGCCGGGUGGACGAAGGCAUGAAGCUGAGUACAAUCCAGAAAACAACAGAGGAGGAGCGCAAACAGAGUAGCAUGACCAAAGAACUACAGACUCUUCACAACCUGCUCAAACUCUUGGUACAGGACCUCACCACACGGGUCAAGAAGGUUUCCUUCUCAUUUCUACUCUGAAGCUCACCUUCUCCUGCUCAAACUGCUGACAAAUGUUUCUGCUGCUCUAAAGUCUGGUCUCCAGAACUUCCUAAAAACGCUCAAAGUCUCUUCUGCUGCAGGUUGCUUUGUAGAACUAUUCCAGAAAACCUCACUAAACCACAUGGAGGGGCCUCAAGAAGAAGACAAAAACCAAACUAGCACAACCCAAACGCUAAAGUCUCCUGCAGCCUACCAGAGAACCUCUGAGAACAGAGAAUCAGGACAGGAACUCUUACCUUCUGGACAACCAACGUGGGUUCACAAACAAGAAUACAGAAUGUGUCUGACCAAAAACCUCUAAAGACUCACUACAGCCAAGAUAAAGACACAGCUGCACCAAAUCCACUAAUCACUGCACACAUUAGCACCAUGUGCUCUGUGGCUAAAGAACCUCAUUUACCAAGACAACUAUCUGGUACAAAGCCCUAAAACACACCAAGAAGCACAUUAAAGAUGAUUUUACUGCUGGAAGCUGCAAGCCAGCGCCUAAAGAACAAACUGAAGCAAUGGAGCCAAACCCGGUUCAGUUGUUAAGAGAAGCAGAGGAAAUGUUUGUCUGCUGCUAAAUAAAGCAGGAAGACACUGAGCUGCUCAGGUGUUCCUAAUAACACCAAGCAGCCACCUGGACAGCCAAUAGGAACACAGCUUACUGGAAGUCCAGAGGGCUGGCUUAGUGAAGGAAAUUUAGUUUAAAGUUGAAGCAGAAAGUUAACAAAGAAAGUUGAAAACCACCUUCUGAUACCUGAAAUCUCUGAGUUUUCACACAAAGAACACCUGAACAUGUCAAACUGGUUCCAUAGUAGAACCCUCAUUGUAAAAACGUCAUAGUAUGGUGUGUUGCUCAAAAAACAUUAGGACCCGGCUGUCAGGGGACAAACAUGUAAGAAACAUGAGAACAGAGAGAACCCAACCAGUAGGUCACAGUUUAUCAUCCCCCAGUCAUCUCCUGAAGUCCAUAUGGUGAGAGACAUCAGUAUCUGGUUGUUAAUUUACCAGAGGAUGCUUAUAAUCAUGCUGAUGUGGUCUGUACUCUACAGUAUUUUAGUGACUCAAUAAAUGCCUAAGUUGUUUUUUUAAAAGGCUUUUUAGUUUUUAAUAAACAUUUAAUACUAUAAAUAAAAUAAUAAAUAUUUAAUGCAGACUCCAGUAUUGCUCACUGGUUGGUCGUUACAUUUUAUUAGUUUGAUUUCACUGUUUAAAAUGAUGCCACCUCUUUUCAGACAGAACCUGUGAUAAUAAAACAAUACAAAAUUUUUAGUUCUGUGUUAAUAAAGCACUUAAAGCUUUAAGUAUGGCUAAAUGCUUUUUUCAAAAUUAAAUAUAUCACUCCUUAGGUGGUAGUGGCCCCAAGUUCAGUAAAGUUGGAAAGAUAUUCACAGAUUCGGACUUCCAGCAUCAAUAACUCAUUAGAUAUAGGUUGUCAAAACAUAAACGGUGCCUCUUUCCCAUUGUUGCAAGGCAGACAAUGUGCUACAAGCCCAGUUUUAUCAAAAGUAGCUGUCUUUCAAGCUACAGGAAUAACAUUGGUGUCUAUGGAGUGAACAGGGUCCGUCUGCAAUUUGCAAAACCACUGCAACAGUAAAGAGAGACAAAUAUUCAAUAACUUCACUCUUAUACAUUGUAGUGUCACUAAAAUCACUGCAGCCUUCAACUGGCUCCUGUUGACAAAGUGUUUUAACAGAAAUGUAAAUGCUGUAAUUUGAUUCUUUUAAUGAACCAUGUAACUUGAAUGGAUGUGAUGCUGGUGUGACCACAGUGCACACGUCUGAUGUUGCUCACAGUGGUCCAAGGGACGCUCAGGGAGUUUGUGUGUUUGCUCACACUCAGGAAAAAUUACAGGGAACAUUGGGCACAAGUCCGUGUGGGGUUUUCAGGUCACACUCGCAGUUUUGUCUCCAGUAAGUCACUGGUAGCUCAUUUAUGGUCUGAGUGGGCUGCUGUGAUUCACACAGAAAGAAAUCCGCAGACAGACGUAGCCGGUAACAAACGAGAGGUUUCAGAAUACUCCAACAUGACAUCACAGGACUUCCUGAUUCAAUAAUGUAUACGGCCGCAUUAAUCAAUCAAUUUUAUUAAAUAAGUAAUGUUCCCUUGACUCGCGGAGGCUUUGUCAAGAGACAAUGAGAGCACAGAAGAAGAAGCUGCUGUCCAGAUGUACAAUGUUUCCUCCAACGUGGAGAAACUUGUGACGCAAGAAAACGGCGCAGACUCUCUCCCUCGCACUGAAACCACAGUUGGAUCAAAGCUUGUAAUUUUCAGUGCAGCAGCAUUCAGGCAUCUCCCAUCUAAUGUAGCGCCUGUUGUUUGGGGUGAGUAUAGUCCUGGAGAAGCAGCAUAGAAUCAUAGAAUCAUGUGCAUCCACAAAUGACAGCUCAGGCUCAAAAAAGACAGAGUUCACCGAGUGCAGCUCCACCGACGCCUGAAAUCAGUGUUUCUCUUUUCACUGUCAAGUGAUCAGACGCAGCAGCAGGAAGAGGUCAGAGAAGAGAGGAUGUUUGAUGAUUUAACACACAGCAAAAGAGUGCGUCCGCAACGAUGACUCUGGGGGAAUAACACCCCUGACCUCAUGAAGAAGCUUUUAUUAUUUAAACCAAACAAAUCAAUUAUUGUCUUUGUGCACAGUCACCACCGCGAGACGAAAUGUCUUUUUUAUAUGUCACCACGUUCGUAAAUAGGCUGAUUAGGCCGGCUGUGGGUGUGAGGAUCAUGUGCUGCAGUGUGACGGAUGCUGAAUGGUCGGCUGUGUUAGCUCACAGAGGAGGAGACUCGGGGAUGGCGUGUACAUGAAGGGCCCUCUGUAUCUCUGCUGUGCACGCAAGUAUGCAUGCCAUUACUAACUUUGGCAUGAAAUAACGCCACUGGGUGUUGGGCUUGAGGCCACCUCAGCUGAGCCCUGACCUACGUCGUCCACAAACUUGACACCGCAACGUCAUUUGGGAAGCCUCUUGUCUGUGAGCGUGAGCUUCUCCUCCAGAGCCUUUGUAUGAAAUGACUGUAACAUUUGGUGUUGAAAUGUCAAAAACAUAAAAUAACAAAUGGUACAUUCACAGCGACACGACAUAAAAAGACGCAAAACAACUAUGAUGAGAAGCAAAAUGACCAAAAAUAGACACGUCAAUGACAAAGAGAUGCAAAACAACGACAAUCAGACACAAAAUGACUACUAUUAGAGGCAAAAUUAUUAAAAGGAGACACAAGUCAUCUACAAAGAGACAUAAAAGAACUAAAAUGAGGCACAAAACAACUGCAAUAAGAGUAAAAAUUACCUAAAAAAAGACACAAAACAACUACAGUGGGAAAAAAAACUACCAAAACCCGACAAAAAACAGCUACAAAGAGAUUCAAAACAAUUACAAUCAGACACAAGAUUACUAUAAUUAGAGGAAAAACUACCAAAAAGAGACACAAAACAACUACAAGCAGACACAAAAUUACUACAAUUAGAGGCAAAAUGACAGACACAAAAUAAGUACAAUAAAACACAAAACAUCUACAAUGAGACACAAAACAAUGAGAAUUUGAGGAAAAAUCACUAAAAUCACAUAAAACAACUACAAACAGAUGCAAAACAAUAACAAUCAGACACAAAAUUACUACAAUGAGAGGAAAAAUGGCAAAAAGAUACACAAAACAACUGCAAUAAGAGGCAAAAUUACCUUAAAGAGGCACAAAACAACUACAGUGGGAACCAAAUGACCAAAAACCGACAAAAAACAACUACAGAGAUAUUAAAAACAGCUACAAUCAGACACAGGAUUACUAUAAUUUGAGGUGAAAUGACAAAAAGAGGCACAAUACAACUACAAUAAGUGGCAAAAUCACCAAAUAAAGGCACAAACCAACUACAACAGGAGGCAAAGUGGCAAAAAGAGGCACAAGAUCAGUACAAUUAAACACAAAGCAACUAAAGUAAUGACACAAAACAACUAGAAUUAGAGGAAAAAUCACCAAAGACACAAAGACAAACAGAUGCAAAACAAAUACAAUCAGACACAAAAUUACUACAAUGGCAAAAGGAGACACAAAACAAUUAAAUGAGACACAACAACUGCAUAAAGAGGCAAAAUGAUGACAAUGACACACAAAACAAACAUAGUGUGAACCAAAGUGACCAAAAACUGACAAAAAGAGCUACAAAGAGAUUCAAAACAACUACAAUGAGACACAAAAUUACUAUAAUUAGAUGUAUAAUCACAGAGAAAAUGUGUAAAAAAUGUCAUAGGUUAAGAUGUCGUCCAAAAUGUGUAAAAAAAAAAAAAAAAAGUCAGACAUUAGUAUGUCGUUCAAAAUAUCACAAAAACGUCAGUUUAGUAUGUUGUCCAAAAUGUGACCAAAUCGUGAUAGUUUAGUAUGUGGUCCAACAAAAACAAUGUCCAGGUAGCUCAAUUGGUUGAGAGAUGAACUCAUAAACAGAGAUGCAGGUUCAAUUCCACCUCAUGACCUUUUACUGCAGGCCUUCCCUGUGGUCCUCUCUACUUACCUAUUGAGUAAAACCAAGAAAAGGGUCUGAAAAAAAACGUCAUAGUUGAGUAUGUCGUCUAAAACUUCAUAGUUUAGUAUGUCGUCCAAAUUUCAUAAAAAACAUCAGUUUAGUAUGUCGUCCACAAUGUCACAAAAAGAUCAUAAGUUAUUAUGUGGUCCAAAAUGUCACAAAAACAUCAUAGUUUAGUAUGUCGUCCAAAAUGUAACCAAAAUGUCAUAGUUUAGUAUGUCAUCCGAAAUGUGACAGGUCAAAUUGUCUCAAAAUGCUUUAUUUUUAUAUUUUUUGUCAUAUUUAAAAUAUGACAGUAAGAAAUUUAAAGCUCUUGACUUGACAGUCCAUCCUGGCCGACUUUAACACCUCUUCAUCACAACUUGUUCUGCCUCCGACCUCAUGGAAACUCCAGAAACUCGGGAAAACCUGUGGAGACUGGAAGAACUCGUGGAGACUCGAAGAACUCGUCGGGCGGGGGAA